AAAAAAAUUAUGUUUUUAAACUAUUAACCCUAUUUCACAGUGAAGCUUGAAAGUGGAGGGAGCCUCGGUGGAUUGGUGUUUCGCCGGACAGGAUUCAAGAAUUUGAUGGAAAAUUUCACUGCAGGUUUUGAUAUCGUGACCGGAAAAGUGCAGUCAGAGCAAACACUCUAUUUAAGGAAAUAGCUAUAUGCAAUGUAAGGUCCCUUUUCUUGCAAAUAUUCUCCAGCUGAGGUCCUCAGUGCUCAUUGGAAGAAUGACUGAAGUUUCACUUUAUCAUUUGCCAAUUGUACUAUUCCCGAAGGUUACUGAUAUUUUGAAAGGGUUUCAAAACAGUGCAAGUAUCCUGAACCAAUGAAUUCUGGAAUAAUGGAGCACAGUUUCAUUUUUAAUGAGGCACGACGUUAUUGGAAAUAUGUUGGAUGCUGUGACAAAGUGGUUAAUUUCCUCCUUAUCCAUGGCAGAAGAGAGUUUUUCCACCUGACUCGAACUGGCUGGCUUGUACUGGGUCUUGUGGGUUGAAGGAAGAUCUCCAAUUAUUUAGGAGACCAGUCCUGUUUACGAUCGCAAACCCUUCAAUAUAAUCAAAUGUGUUUUCUGCUGAUAUCAAACGCUCCUGGUCCCUGGCAAAUGUAUUGAAAUCAGAGUGCUGGUUCCAGUGAUAUUCUGGCCCGUGUGAUGAUGCCAAACUGACCUAGUCCUCCAAGGACACUGUGAAAGAGGUCGCUAUUCUGCUUCUUUGUACAGUUCACGAUCUCCCCUUUUCCUGCACUCAGUUUGAGUCCAAUUUUUACUGAUGGACAUUACUUAUCUGGGGGCCAUGUCGAAAAGCCUGCCCGCUGAUCCCAGCAUUGGACAAAGUACCACCAACAGUUAAAUGCAGGUAGUCUGUCCAAGAUUUUGGCGCU